GGGUUUUUAGUAUAAGUUUUAAUAUGUUUGAUUGCAAAUCAUGAGAUUUUGGCCUU
rnacentral:tRNA from 1 species